rnacentral:lncRNA from 1 species
GCCUUAGAAGAAGAUACAGUUACAAAGAGAAGGAAAUAACUCCUCAUCGGAAGAAAACAAGGAAAUAGCAUGCACAGGUGAAACAUUCUAAGCAGACUGGUCUUCCCAGUGAGAUGUUGAAACUCAUUAAGGAACAACUCCAAUCACUUCUCAGAAUAUGGUGGCGUCCGAAUCCCGGCGUGGGAGGAGUGGAGAGUGUCAGCUGGAGAGAUCAUGUAAAAGCAGCCACUUCAGUUGCAUUCCAAAAGGAACAAUGGAUUUAAGAGGCUAGAAGCCAUCAGCAACUGCUUCCUGCCCAAGAGGAGAAGCAUGAAUAAAUCUUC